GGAUAUGACAUAAAAUGAAAUAAGCUGAAAAAAUUAAAACGAGCUAGAAUGUUAUGAGUCUUGUCAAAGGACCUUGACUCUAUUCAUAUAACAAAUACUCAGUCAAUCACAAUGGUGAUUGAGUUAGCCACUUGGCUCACACUGGCGGCUCAGGAGGUCAGUGAGCGACGGGAAAUAGUUUGCUUAUUCUUAUAGUGAUCCAAAUUCUACAAUAUGGUAGAAGUGGCCAUUCUCUAUGAUUAUGAAUUUUCUGUUCUCUCGAGUGCUCUAUACAGCCGACACGACAAACACGCUUUGUGUCUUGCUCUGUUCUUACUUUCAGACAAUUCCUACUAUUCCUGAGGUACUAGCAAAGGUUUCAUAUAUUCUAAGCUGCAAAAAUUUAACUUUUGAAUUAAUAACUUCGGAACGACUAAAGACAUUUUUAUAAAAUAAAAAUCUUCCAAAAUGUAGUCUGCUCGAGAACGUGGUACUACGAUGUCUAGAAGCUUACCGUACAUUUUCCGAUUCACACAUAUUUGUUUCCACAAAUUUUCAAAUUUAAUUUUUCGUAUCCAAAAAGUAUUUGUAUACCCUCCACUUGAAGAGUAUUUAGAUUUUUGGUGGCAGAGGAUAAAGUAUUUACAUAUAUUCUUGAUCAGUGUUAAUAGCCGAGUUCUGUCCGUCCGUGUACAAAGUUCUGUAUUUUGUGUACAAAGCAAGGCAUGUACAACCUUGGAUAUUCUUGUAUACAAAUCUGUGCGGUUUCCAAUGCGUAUUCCCGAUAUUUUUUAUUAGAUCAUGGUUUACUUCGGUAAUUUGAGCAGACAAUUGUGAAUUUUCAAAAAACCUUCCACCCGUAACAAUCUUCUAACAACACUAUUGCUGUUGCCAGAACCUUGCAUGGGAAUGUUUAUUAUUAAUAACAUUUCGACUGUGAACCUGUCUCUGAUAGCUGCCUUUCGUUGAUAAACUAUGCUUUUAUCUGAGGCACGGAUCAACCACUUUUAAAUUGGUAGUUGAUAGCUAGACCUCGGAUUUUGCAUAUUUUCAUCAGAUUGUUACUAAAAUUUUUAUUUAGACGUUUGAUUAGUCAAAUAUAACGAAUUUGAAUGCAUAUCGAAAAUAUGCAAAACAUAUGCAAAAUAUAUGCAAACAAAAUAUGCCAAAAAUAUGCAAAAUAUAUGCACAUGAAUUUCAUCGAAAUAUUGAAGCAAUACUACUUUCUCUUACUGUACUGUUACUUUACUUGUCUACAGUCUUCGAAGCGAAUUGUAGUGGAAUGCCGAAAAUCAACAGGUAUAAAAGAAAUUUGUUAGGAAAAUGGUUUAACCGCCUUUCCGAAAAGUGUUUUAAAACUGUUGGAAAUGAUAUAAUUUGUGCUACUUGUGACAAAAAGGUGAAUUUUCAAUAUUCAGUCUUUUGCGUACGUUCUAAAACUUUUACUGUUUUAGAUUCCUUGCGAAAAAAAUUUCAAUUGCAGCAGCAUAUUGCUACUGCACUUCACAGAAGGUCCAAAGCAUCCAACGAAAAUGCGCCUUCUUCCAGCAACACAUCAAGCUGCUUUUUUGUACAGAGUUGAUUGCGGAAAAUAUACUAUGGAAUGUGCUUAGUAAUGGUACCUUUAAUAAUUUUCUGAAAAAAUACGCCGGGCAACAAAUUCCUUAUGAGAGUACUCUCAGAAAGAGUUACUUGGAUAAAUCCUACCAACAAUCUAUCCAAAAAAUUCGCGAAAGUAUAAAAGACGAAAACGUUUGGAUAUCAGUGGACGAAACUACGGAUAAGCAAGGGCGAUAUGUCGCAAAUUUGAUUAUAAGAACAUAAAGCGAAAAGGAAUCUUCAUACUCAUUUUUAUUGUCCUGUAAACAGUUGGAAGAAGUAAAUAAUGCAACUGUUUCUCGAUUAGUGAACGACAGCAUUCGUAUAUUGUGGCCUCACGGGAAUGUUUUGUUACUCUUAACUGAUGCUGCGGCAUAUAUGACAAAAGCUGGUAAAAGUUUUGUAUCCGAAUCUCAUACAUAUUUCUGGUUUAGCACACGGAUUAAAUUUAAUAGCUGAAAAAGUAAGAACAUCGUUUCAUGUCGCUAAUUCGUUUAUAUCCUGUGUGAAAAAAUGUGCAUAAAAGCUCCGCUCAGAGUACAACGCUACAAACAAAUACUCAAUAAGGAGUUACCACCAGAACCGAUCAUAACCAGAUGGGGUACAUGGUUGAAGGCGGCAUCAUUUUAUGUAGAUAACAUGGAGGAAAUAAAAGAGGUUCUUGAAACACUGAACCCAGAAGAUGCUGAAUCCAUUAAGCUGGCGAAGGAGCUGGUAGAAAACCCACAACUACAUCAAGAAUUCAUAUAUAUAAAAUCCCACUUCGAGAGAGUUGCCGAAAUAAUAAGAGCAUUGAAAACGAAGGCGCUGCCAUUAGAAACGUCAGUGGACAAAACUAAUGGAAACCAAUGGAAACUAAUGAUUUUGGAAUGGAUUAAAAAAAGAAAUUUGAAGCAAUUUUGAAAAGAAAUCCUGAUUUUCAAAUCUACUGGUUAUGAAUUAGUGGACUGUAUAAUCUUUUAAUAUAUUGAGCUUAUUUAUUUUCA